GGAGGUGACAGGAGUCUGGUGGCUCCCCUGGUCUUCAAAACCAAGGACGCGUCGCAACGGCGCGUGGUGGGUUCGAUUCCCAUCCACCUCCGCCA
rnacentral:tRNA from 1 species